rnacentral:rRNA from 1 species
GGGAAACUGCCCGAUGGAGGGGGAUAACUACUGGAAACGGUAGCUAAUACCGCAUAACGUCUUCGGACCAAAGUGGGGGACCUUCGGGCCUCACACCAUCGGAUGUGCCCAGAUGGGAUUAGCUAGUAGGUGGGGUAACGGCUCACCUAGGCGACGAUCCCUAGCUGGUCUGAGAGGAUGACCAGCCACACUGGAACUGAGACACGGUCCAGACUCCUACGGGAGGCAGCAGUGGGGAAUAUUGCACAAUGGGCGCAAGCCUGAUGCAGCCAUGCCGCGUGUAUGAAGAAGGCCUUCGGGUUGUAAAGUACUUUCAGCGGGGAGGAAGGCGAUGUGGUUAAUAACCGCGUCGAUUGACGUUACCCGCAGAAGAAGCACCGGCUAACUCCGUGCCAGCAGCCGCGGUAAUACGGAGGGUGCAAGCGUUAAUCGGAAUUACUGGGCGUAAAGCGCACGCAGGCGGUCUGUCAAGUCGGAUGUGAAAUCCCCGGGCUUAACCUGGGAACUGCAUUCGAAACUGGCAGGCUUGAGUCUCGUAGAGGGGGGUAGAAUUCCAGGU